rnacentral:lncRNA from 1 species
AAAAAGAUUCGUUGGGAGUGAUGUCAUCGGAUCCCGGGAAUGGGGGAAAAGGUGAUGUCAUUAAUAAAUGACUUGGCGACUUAGACAAAUUUUGAAGGAUGGUGGCUCUUCACUUAUGGAAAGGAUGGUAAUGGUACGAGUCGCCCAGGGUGAGCGAGGAAGUCUAUUGGCGUGAAUAAAUUCAACUCAAUCUAGGGCCUAAUGUUGGGGAUAUUACCUGCGGUAUGACCCGCCCUAGUGGGCCGGGUCAGGAAAGUGGCGAAUCAUACAUAUAUGAGAAACAUAAGCCUUAGUUUGGAUCUGGGGCAUGUUGAGACAUGCAAAUCAUACGACGUGGGCAAGAUGACUGAAG